rnacentral:rRNA from 1 species
AGUGAACGCUGGCGGCAGGCCUAACACAUGCAAGUCGAACGGCAGCACAGGAAGAUCGUGCUCUUACGGGUGGCGAGGGGCGGGCGGGUGAGGAGUACAUCGGAAUCUACUUUUUCGGGGGGGAUAACGGAGGGAAACUGACGCUAAUACCGCAUAUGACCUACGGGUGAGAGCAGUAGAGAUUCGGGGCUUUGGCGAUUGAAAUAGCCGGCGUCGGAUUAGCUAGUUGGGGGGGUAAAGGCCCACCAAGGCGACGAUACGUAGCGGGUCUGAGAGGAUGAUCAGCCACACUGGAACUGAGACACGGUCCAGACUCCUACGGGAGGCAGCAGUGGGGAAUCUUGCACAAUGGGCGCAAGCCUGACCCAGCCAUGCCGCGUGGGUGAAGAAGGCCUUCGGGUUGUAAAGCCCUUUUGUUGGGAAAGAACAGCAGCAGGUUAAUACCCCGCUGUUCUGACGGUACCCAAAGAAUAAGCACCGGCUAACUUCGUG